rnacentral:rRNA from 1 species
AUUGAACGCUGGCGGCAGGCCUAACACAUGCAAGUCGAGCGAGCGGCGGACGGGUGAGUAAUGUCUGGGGAACUGCCCGAUGGAGGGGGAUAACUACUGGAAACGGUAGCUAAUACCGCAUACCAUCGGAUGUACCCAUAUGGGAUUAGCUUGUAGGUGGGGUAACGGCUCACCUAGGCGACGAUCCCUAGCUGGUCUGAGAGGAUGACAAGCAACACUGGAACGGAGACACGGGCCAGAGGCCUACGGGAGGCAGCAGUGGGGAAGAUUGCACAAUGGGCGCAAGCCUGAUGCAGCCAUGCCGCGUGUAUGAAGAAGGCCUUCGGGUUGUAAAGUACUUUCAGCCGGGAGGCGUUACCGGCAGAAGAAGCACCGGCUAACUCCGUGCCAGCAGCCGCGGUAAUUC